UCUUGAACACCGAAGCUCCUGACUUGUACAUAAGGCAGAAUCCUGUUCCAAAUGCCUACACCUUAGCAAUCAACGGCAAAAAACCAUUCAUUGUCGUUCACACAAGCCUUGUGGAGCUGCUUACUCCAAGGGAAUUGCAGGCUGUUUUGGCUCAUGAGAUGGGUCACCUCAAGUGCGAUCAUGGUGUUUGGCUCACUUUUGCCAAUAUACUCACAAUGGGAGCAUACACUGUCCCUGGUUUUGGCAUGGUUGCUGGCUUUCUGGAAGAGCAGCUAUAUAGAUGGCUACAAGCUGCAGAGCUGACUUGUGACAGGGCAGCUCUUCUUGUGGUGCAAGACCCGAAG